GACGAGUGGCGGACGGGUGAGUAAUGCUUAGGAAUCUGGCUUAUGGAGGGGGAUAACUGUGGGAAACUGCAGCUAAUACCGCGUAUUCUCUGAGGAGGAAAGGGUGGGACCUUAGGGCCACCUGCCAUAAGAUGAGCCCAAGUGGGAUUAGGUAGUUGGUGGGGUAAAGGCCUACCAAGCCUGCGAUCUCUAGCUGGUCUGAGAGGAUGACCAGCCACACUGGAACUGAGACACGGUCCAGACUCCUACGGGAGGCAGCAGUGGGGAAUAUUGCGCAAUGGGGGGAACCCUGACGCAGCCAUGCCGCGUGAAUGAAGAAGGCCUUCGGGUUGUAAAGUUCUUUCGGUAAUGAGGAAGGGAUGUUGUUAAAUAGAUAGCAUCAUUGACGUUAAUUACAGAAGAAGCACCGGCUAACUCCGUGCCAGCAGCCGCGGUAAUACGGAGGGUGCGAGCGUUAAUCGGAAUAACUGGGCGUAAAGGGCACGCAGGCGGACUUUUAAGUGAGAUGUGAAAUCCCCGAGCUUAACUUGGGAACUGCAUUUCAGACUGGGAGUCUAGAGUACUUUAGGGAGGGGUAGAAUUCCACGUGUAGCGGUGAAAUGCGUAGAGAUGUGGAGGAAUACCGAAGGCGAAAGCAGCCCCUUGGGAAUGUACUGACGCUCAUGUGCG
rnacentral:rRNA from 1 species